rnacentral:rRNA from 1 species
ACACAUGCAAGUCGAGCGGUAAGGCCUUUCGGGGUACACGAGCGGCGAACGGGUGAGUAACACGUGGGUGAUCUGCCCUGCACUCUGGGAUAAGCUUGGGAAACUGGGUCUAAUACCGGAUAUGACCGCAUGCCGCAUGGUGUGUGGUGGAAAGAUUUAUCGGUGCAGGAUGGGCCCGCGGCCUAUCAGCUUGUUGGUGGGGUAAUGGCCUACCAAGGCGACGACGGGUAGCCGACCUGAGAGGGUGACCGGCCACACUGGGACUGAGACACGGCCCAGACUCCUACGGGAGGCAGCAGUGGGGAAUAUUGCACAAUGGGCGGAAGCCUGAUGCAGCGACGCCGCGUGAGGGAUGAAGGCCUUCGGGUUGUAAACCUCUUUCAGCAGGGACGAAGCGUGAGUGACGGUACCUGCAGAAGAAGCACCGGCUAACUACGUGCCAGCAGCCGCGGUAAUACGUAGGGUGCGAGCGUUGUCCGGAAUUACUGGGCGUAAAGAGUUCGUAGGCGGUUUGUCGCGUCGUUUGUGAAAACCCGGGGCUCAACUUCGGGCUUGCAGGCGAUACGGGCAGACUUGAGUGUUUCAGGGGAGACUGGAAUUCCUGGUGUAGCGGUGAAAUGCGCAGAUAUCAGGAGGAACACCGGUGGCGAAGGCGGGUCUCUGGGAAACAACUGACGCUGAGGAACGAAAGCGUGGGUAGCAAACAGGAUUAGAUACCCUGGUAGUCCACGCCGUAAACGGUGGGCGCUAGGUGUGGGUUCCUUCCACGGGAUCUGUGCCGUAGCUAACGCAUUAAGCGCCCCGCCUGGGGAGUACGGCCGCAAGGCUAAAACUCAAAGGAAUUGACGGGGCCCGCACAAGCGGCGGAGCAUGUGGAUUAAUUCGAUGCAACGCGAAGAACCUUACCUGGGUUUGACAUACACCGGAAACCGU